GCCUUGCUUUACGGCCAAGCUUCCUCCGUCGACUUCCGCUUUUUCACGUCCUUCACAGAAUCUGUGAACUCGCUAGAUAUCUGUGUACCUUAGCCGGGGUUUACCUGUAUAGUACCAUGGCGAAGCUCAGCAAAGAGACCAAACAACGGCUGCAGACGGUGUUCCAGGCCGGACAGUUCGUCAUCCGCUGGGGUUUCAUCCCCACGGUGCUCUAUCUGGGUUUUGCACGGGGGGGGGAUCCUGGAAUGCCUGAGCCAAACAUCCUAAGUCUGCUGUGGGGCUGAGGACAACCCUGACCCGGCCAAUCACCACCUCCAACCGUGGUCAUGUGACUCCCAGCUGUCACCACGGAAACGGACGCCAUCUUACCCUCACCAAUUUCUAUAUGGCCCAUAUAUUAUAGGUUGGUUGGAACUUUCAGUGUCACGUCACUCAGGUUGUGUCGGAGACAUGAAGCUCUGAACGUUCUUCUUAUUCUGAAACACCCAAGGGCGUGAUGGACAUCAUAUUUUGAAACCGCUCCAUUACUGCGGAGUGACCAACGUUUCUCUCUUGUUUUGUUUCCUCUCUGUUUGGGAACAUGUACAACUUUGUUAUCUUGUCAUUUGGUCAUGGAUCUGUGUUUGUCUUUUUACUUUAAAUGUCUGCCUGUUGGUUGAAAGUGGACCUGACUUUGUCUAUAAAUCACCUUUGAGAGAA